GUAGGUGGCAAGCGUUGUCCGGAAUUAUUGGGGCGUAAAGCGCGCGCAGGGCGGUCCUUUAAGUCUGAUGUGAAAGCCCACGGCUCAACCGUGGAGGGUCAUUGGAAACUGGGGGACUUGAGUACAGAAGAGGAAAGCGGAAUUCCAAGUGUAGCGGUGAAAUGCGUAGAGAUUUGGAGGAACACCAGUGGCGAAGGCGGCUUUCUGGUCUGUAACUGACGCUGAGGCGCGAAAGCGUGGGGAGCAAACAGGAUUAGAUACCCUGGUAGUCCACGCCGUAAACGAUGAGUGCUAAGUGUUAGUGGGUUUCCGCCCCUUAGUGCUGCAGCUAACGCAUUAAGCACUCCGCCUGGGGAGUACGGCCGCAAAGGCUG
rnacentral:rRNA from 1 species